GACGAACGCUGGCGGCGUGCCUAAUACAUGCCAGUAGAACGCUGAAGGAGGAGCUUGCUUCUCUGGAUGAGUUGCGAACGGGUGAGUAACGCGUAGGUAACCUGCCUGGUAGCGGGGGAUAACUAUUGGAAACGAUAGCUAAUACCGCAUAAUAGUAGAUGUUGCAUGACAUUUGCUUAAAAGGUGCAAUUGCAUCACUACCAGAUGGACCUGCGUUGUAUUAGCUAGUUGGUGGGGUAACGGCUCACCAAGGCGACGAUACAUAGCCGACCUGAGAGGGUGAUCGGCCACACUGGGACUGAGACACGGCCCAGACUCCUACGGGAGGCAGCAGUAGGGAAUCUUCGGCAAUGGACGGAAGUCUGACCGAGCAACGCCGCGUGAGUGAAGAAGGUUUUCGGAUCGUAAAGCUCUGUUGUAAGAGAAGAACGAGGGUGAGAGUGGAAAGUUCACACUGUGACGGUAUCUUACCAGAAAGGGACGGCUAACUACGUG
rnacentral:rRNA from 1 species